AUCACUUUCUUCUUCCACACAGCACACAUCUAACAGUUUCCAGCUCUAUUCUGAAAGGGAAGAUGUUAGUCCUUAUGCCAUUUUUAAUUAUUCUCUUGACAACAGACUAUAGCAAAGGUAAGUAAUGUAGGCUAACUAAUGGUUUGGCGUUUUUACUUGAAAAGUCUUGAAUGUCUUUGAUUUUCCAGAUCUUUAAACCCUCAAAAUGAAGUUUUAGAGUUGUGAAAGGAUUUUGAUUUUGUAUCCCAUUGUAUGUCAUAUGCACAGCAAAAAAGAAACAUCCUCUUCACAUUCAACUGCUUUUAUUUCUGAACAUGUGUACAUAACAUGCAAUAAUUGUUUAUGGUUCGUAGAAUAAGUAUGGAAAAAUGUAAUUUAAACCCUUAAAGAUCUGUAAAGCUUAUUUGGAUUUAAUGAAAUGAUCUUUCAAAUACAGUAUGCAUACAAAUGCAUCAGCAUAUGCUAAUAUUGCUUUCUGAUGCAUGCAGGUGAAAUAGAGCUGCGUGCUUUUAAACACCAGACAGUGAAUUGCAAUGAGAGGACUGUCUUGCAAUGCGGAGUCAGCUCAUCAGUGCCGUUGAACUUUGUAAAAGCGUACUGGAAAAAACAAGAUGAUAAAGAUUUUGAAUGUGUUUCAACAUCCAGCAAUAACCCUUCAGGAUUUGAGUGCAACUACACAGGGGGAGCACUGACAUUAACCAUCUCAAAUCCCACACCAGCAAACAUGGGCACAUACUUUUGUUGUAUAAGGACAGACUUUGGACAUGGAAAAGAACAAAUCGACGUGUCUAUAGGACAAUGCACCGGAGAAUUCUCCAACCAGAUGGCUGGACCCAAAGAAAUGCAGUGCAGCUUCAAUGGUGUGUACCCAGAGGCCAUAAUAAACUGGUAUCAUUAUGACAAGAACCUGACUUCCAACUCUACAAGCACAAGCCUGGUGAACUCUGACGGAACGUUCAACGUCACAAGUGUCCUCAACAUCCAGGACAAUCAAAAGAGAUAUAACUGCUCACUGUGGUCACUCAAACACGGACGAUACAGCGAUCAAGAGUUCGAAGUGGCAGAUCAAGCUGAGUCCAGUCCUGUUAGCAGGAUCAGCACACAACAUUGUUUAUCAUGGACUCUUAUCCUUCUUAGCCUGAUGUUUUCAUCGAGAGCCUGUUUGUCUUUAUAAUCUUUACAUACCAACUCUCACAAGACCUGAUGACAAAACCAAAGAUCUGGUGGAGUUUCAUAAAUGGAAUUCACCAGAUAAACUGAUCAUCUAAUCAAUAUAGUGUCAGACCUUUUACCUGCCAUGUGGUAGGUCUGGAUGUAAUUAAAGUCCAGGGGAUCCCUGAAGACAUGGCCACUGGAUAUGGCAGCGAACUGACAUUUGACCCACAACGUCAAGUCAUAACUUGAUUUAUUUAAGAAAACGCUGACGUGAAAAGCCCAAACUAUUUCAAACAGCAUUUUGAAAACGUAUUUGUUCCCAUUCUUGAUGCAGAAUAAUGUAUGAUCUCAAAUUAAUUGAAAGACUACACUGACU
rnacentral:lncRNA from 1 species